CUCCGAUCCUCUCAAGCCAUCUCCACACCUACUCCUCAUUCUUGGAGAACAAAAUACAGCAUACACAGGACCUCCAUCGACAACAAUGGCGGCAACCACCAUGUCCCUCUCUUCCCCAGCCUUUGCCGGCAAGGCAGUGAAGGACUUGCCAUCGUCGUCUCUUUUCGGGGAGGCUCGCGUCACCAUGCGCAAGACGGCGGCAAAGGCCAAGAAGGUUGCCUCCAGCAGCCCGUGGUACGGCUCUGACCGGGUCCUCUACCUCGGCCCACUUUCUGGUGAGCCCCCGAGCUACCUGACCGGUGAGUUCCCCGGUGACUACGGGUGGGACACCGCUGGACUGUCGGCUGACCCUGAGACCUUCGCCAAGAACCGGGAGCUUGAGGUGAUCCAUUGCCGUUGGGCCAUGCUUGGCGCGCUCGGUUGUGUCUUCCCCGAGCUGCUCGCCCGCAACGGUGUUAAGUUCGGUGAGGCUGUUUGGUUCAAGGCUGGAUCUCAGAUCUUCAGCGAGGGUGGCCUUGACUACCUCGGCAACCCAAGCCUUGUGCACGCCCAGAGUAUCCUUGCCAUUUGGGCUUGUCAGGUUGUGCUCAUGGGUGCCGUUGAGGGUUACCGCAUUGCUGGUGGACCACUUGGUGAGAUCGUUGACCCAUUAUACCCGGGUGGCAGCUUCGACCCGCUCGGCCUUGCUGACGACCCGGAGGCAUUCGCCGAGCUCAAGGUUAAGGAGGUCAAGAACGGUCGCCUCGCCAUGUUCUCCAUGUUUGGAUUCUUUGUUCAAGCCAUCGUCACCGGCAAAGGUCCACUCGAGAACCUUGCUGACCACCUCGCCGACCCUGUCAACAACAAUGCUUGGGCAUUCGCCACCAACUUCGUUCCCGGCAAGUAAGGUGCCGGAUCCCAGAUCUUCAGCGAGGGCGGCCUCGACUACCUUGGCAACCCAAGCCUUGUGCAUGCGCAGAGUAUCCUUGCCAUCUGGGCGUGUCAGGUCGUGCUCAUGGGCGCCGUCGAGGGUUACCGCAUUGCCGGUGGACCACUCGGUGAGAUCGUCGACCCACUCUACCCGGGCGGUAGCUUUGACCCGCUCGGCCUUGCCGACGACCCUGAGGCAUUCGCCGAGCUCAAGGUUAAGGAGGUCAAGAACGGCCGCCUCGCCAUGUUCUCCAUGUUUGGUUUCUUUGUGCAAGCCAUUGUCACCGGCAAGGGUCCACUCGAGAACCUCGCUGACCAUCUCGCCGACCCCGUCAACAACAAUGCAUGGGCAUUCGCCACCAACUUCGUUCCCGGCAAGUAAGGUGUGUAUGUGUGUGUGCACGGCGCUUGCGGUGAAGUGUGGCGUUGUGUUGUCCAAGUUGUAAUACGACGAUGUAAAUUACGAGGAUUCGAUUGUCUGAAGAGAAAAAUUUGAGGAUUCUGUGCAAAA